rnacentral:rRNA from 1 species
UGGGGAAUAUUGCACAAUGGGGGAAAUCCUGAUGCAGCGACGCCGCGUGAAGGAAAGAAGUAUCUCGGUAUGUAAACUUCUAUCAGCAGGGAAGAUAGUGACGGUACCUGACUAAGAAGCCCCGGCUAACUACGUGCC